AUUGAACGCUGGCGGCAUGCCUUACACAUGCACGUCGAACGGCAGCACGGGAGCAAUCCUGGUGGCGAGUGGCGAACGGGUGAGUAAAGUAUCGGAACGUGCCCAGUCGUGGGGGAUAACGUAGCGAAAGUUACGCUAAUACCGCAUACGAUCUAUGGAUGAAAGCGGGGGAUCGCAAGACCUCGCGCGAUUGGAGCGGCCGAUAGCAGAUUAGGUAGUUGGUGGGGUAAAGGCUCCCCAAGCCGACGAUCUGUAGCUGGUAUGAGAGGACGACCAGCCACACUGGGACUAGGUCACGGCCCGGACUCCUACGGGAGGCAGCAGUGGGGAAUUUUGGACAAUGGUCGAAAGCCUGAUCCAGCCAUGCCGCGUGCAGGAUGAAGGCCUUCGGGUUGUAAACUGCUUUUGGACGGAACGAAAAGGUUUGGCCUAAUAAGCUGAGCUCAUGACGGUACCGUAAGAAUAAGCACCGGCUAACUACGUGCCAGCCGCCGCUGUAA
rnacentral:rRNA from 1 species